GUCUUCCUCGAUCCCGUGGUGCUCCGCGGCGCGGCCUUACUCUCUUCCGGUCGCGGGACACCGGGUGUAGAGGGCGGUCGCGGCGGGCAGUGGCGGCAGAAUGUUGGCUACCAGGGUAUUUAGCCUAGUUGGCAAGCGAGCAAUUUCCACCUCUGUGUGUGUACGAGCUCAUGUGUUGUGAAGAGCGAAGACUUUUCGCUCCCAGCUUAUAUGGAUCGGCGUGACCACCCCUUGCCGGAGGUGGCCCAUGUCAAGCACCUGUCUGCCAGCCAGAAGGCCUUGAAGGAGAAGGAGAAGGCCUCCUGGAGCAGCCUCUCCAUGGAUGAGAAAGUCGAGUGUGGGUAUUGAAGGGACCCACAGGCGCGCCCAGCAGCUCUCAGAAGUGUGUGUGUGACAGAGCCUCUGCUCACUUCUGGGCCUACUGUCUAGAGAGCAGUCUUGCACAGGAGGGUUGCUCUGCUGGGUUUCGGGGUCACUGUCCCAGGGCCCUAGUUUAUGUGCUCACCAGUCACUUAGCUCUGCCAGCUGACAGGAUCUUUUGCUAGGCCCCCUUCUCUGUGCU
rnacentral:sRNA from 1 species